AGCGCGGCCGCACCACCGGGCGCACGGAGACAUCAAGUAGUCCCUUAGAGCGACCUUAUUAGAGGGAAGUUCUAGAUGUCAGGGGCUGCCUGAGUCGGAACCCCGAGAGACAGGGCGUGGCGGCCCGCCCAGAGGGACCUUAGGGAAAGAGGUCCGAGCGCCCACUUUCCGUUCCUGUAGAAGGAUGUGUGGGGGAGGCGGAAUAAGUUCCGGCGGAGGACUCGGGCGCGCCCGGUGGAGUGAAGCACCGCGCGGUCGAAGCGCUCAGAGUUAAAGUGGGCGGGAAAACCCGGAGCGGACUCUCCGACACGCCCAGGACCUCCCGUCCCACUCUUCGUGGGGGAGGGGACUGAAACGAGCCGAGGAUAGGAGACGUGCUCCCUUCCCUAGCUUGUUAAAGCCCUCCUGAGAAACAGGUGUCCGCCCGCCACCUCGAGGGCCUCCCAGGUGCCGGCGAGGCGGGAGCACUGUGUGCCUCCUCUUGCUCUAGCGUCCGCAACGUCGGUGCUGGGCGCGCGGACAGGAGCCCACGCCUGCGGGCUGGAGGAGCUGGGCGCGCGCAUGCGUGCGGUGGGAGCGCUCUUCCCGCCCCUUUCUUGAGCGAGUUCGCUGCUUCCCUCCCCCCGCGUUCCUCAGCCGCUGCCUCAGAGCCUCCCCCGCACCCAGCGCUCUCUCUUCGGGGGAGGUGGCGGUCUUGCCCAUCUACUGCCUAACCCCUUCACCCCAGUUUCGCCCCGCCUCUCCAGCGCUUCGGUACAAACUCCGCUGUUAGGGCUCGGCUUUCACAUUCCCGCCUCCGCCCUCGGUCUCCCCUCCCUACCCUACAGCACUUCCUGCGAACUGCCCUGUUGUGCGCGCCACGGCCGGCCGGUCCUGACUGGAUGGCUGCGCUCACGCCGAGGGCGCGGAUGCUAACCCGGGGUUCCUGCGUCCUGCGCGCUGCAGGCGCCUGCUCCAUUUUGCAGAUGAGGAGAUUAAUAAGGUCCAGAACCCUAAAAGCUACUUGAGUUGUCCCAAAACAAGCCCGGCAACGGAUGUUGGAUAAAUCUCUUUGACUUUGUACAAUUUCACCAACUUUAGAAAGCCAGCCCGCCAAGCUCCCCUCUCGGGAUCUGCAGUUUUUCGGGCUGGCGCACCUCGGCCCCAACACCAUUGGAAGCUUCCCCUAAACUGACCGUGUGGCGAUGGCUAUGUUAGAAGAGGGCUAGUUUUAGCUGGCACACCAGCUUAGAGGUCAAGCAGGUUAACUUUUUCUUUUGGGUCACGGUUUCACUAUGUAGUUCGGGCUCCCUUGAACUAUGUGGUCCAGGUUUGCCCUGAACUCGCGACGAUCCUCCUGCCUCAGCCUCCCGAGUGCUGAGAUGACAGGCGUGCACCACUAUGCCCAGCAAGCAGGAUAUUUUUUUCAAGUCGUUUUUAAACGUGUAUUUUUUUAAAUUUUGCUGUUCUCUUUUACUGGUCCCACUUGAGACUAUUUUUUAAGUAUUGAAAAUGUUUACAUUGAACUCAUCCCUUUCUAAAACAAAAUCUACCAUUUUACUUUAAAAGAUCAAUUUUUUGUUUUACAAUUGGUGGCUUAGCCUAGAGCACCACCCCCACCCGCCAAUGUGCAUUUUCCCAGGGCUGCUGCUCUGAUUAGCUCUACCUCUAGUCUGCUGAGAGGUUCAUUUGCACAGAAGCGCGGAAUUGGAGGGAUGAAAUGGACAGUCUUGAUUCAUUGCCUCUGUAAACCUGUGCACCCCAAUUUAAAAGCUAUAACCAAGAAUCGAAGCAAAAGAGAUUUGUGUCAUUUUAUAGAUAGCAAGGGAUUAUUUCAGAUUUGAGUAUUGAGAGGGUCUCAUUCCGAACACUGUAGGAUCUUGCUAAAUUCUAAAUUGUCUAGACUGGAGUAAACCUCUUGCCUCAGCCUCCCAAGAUGCUGGAAUUAUGAACCAUGAACCUUUUGUUUUUUGAGACAGAGUCUUGCUAUGUAGUACAGUCCAGCUUUGAGCUCACUCUGUAUCCCAGACUGGCCUCAAACUUGAGGUAAUCCUCCUGCCUCAGCCUCCUGAGUGCUGGCAUUACAGUUCCUCUAAAAGUUCUGCUGGGCUUCUGCUUCUGCCUUCAGAGUUCACAGCACCUUCAACCUCCCUGGUACAUCCUGGUCUGUGACUGACUCCUCCCCUGGGUUGAUUCAUACAAUAAAGUAACUAGGUUUUCAGCUCAA